UUUUUCACAUUGCACAUAUGAGGGAUUUUCUUUUACUUUCUUACCUUCUUCUUUGGUUUCUCACAGGGGGAGAUUUUGCUUUAGAAGAAAGGGGGAGAGUUUUUAUGGAUCAUUUUUUUGUGAUGAUCUUUUCACUUUGCUUUUUAUUUAAACAAAAUUUUCUUCUGAUUUAAGAAAAAAUACUUAUGAAAGUGUAUGCCAAUGUUCAAUGUUUUUAUGGUGUUGCCAAUGAUUUCAUCAAGGGGGAGAUUGUGAGAUCAUGUGUGAUGAAACAUUGGUUUAUAUUGAAAUUGGCAUUGCAAAGUGAUUAGCAUAAUUGACAUAGGGUGAUGAUACACUCAUGAUGGUUUUCGUUUGGAUGUAACACACUCAUGUGAGUAGUGUUGCAUGGACUGAUCUUGAGUCAAGUCGUGGACUUGUGCUCGUACGCGGUUGCGUGUUUGUUCGUGGGCAGGUGUUGCUUGAGGCGGAACGUGGUCGGUGACGGACUGGAACUAGGUUCAGGAUGAACUGAGGUUUCGGGACCAAGUUCAGGGAGGAACUAAGGUCCUAUCGGUCAA
rnacentral:lncRNA from 1 species